UGUAUGUGUGUCACUGUAUUUAUUUCCUGACUCUUCAUUGCUGAAUUUCUAAACGGGAUAAUAACAAGUUGAAAAUAAAAACUUCUCAUGGGUUCCAGCACUUUUCCAGAUGUGCAAGACUGUAGAAAAUCUGGACACUCAGGGCCAGUCCACUAAGCCAAGUCAGCAACCAUACAUCCUACAUCCCAGGUCAAUCCCAGUUCCCUGAGGUCACUGCUCACUCCAGAAGUCAACCGAGAUGCUUCUGCCACCUUCUGAAGGAUGGAAAUCCCCUUGGCAGUAGAGCUGAGUGUAUGAGAUGGAAAACAUCCACUUUCAACUGAAGGCAUCGUGUUUUUGCUUGUUGUUUUCCACUCUUAUGCAGCAGUAUGAGUAUAAAUGUAAUCAGUCACUUGUUUUUGACAUUACAGAAUCUUUCCAGGGUUUUUUUCCGAGAAGCAAAAAGGUUUAUAUUAGAGGAUUAGGACUUUUUAAACUAGCAUUUGUGGCUGAGGGCCAUUUGUGUAGUAAAUGACACAGAGCAGGCUUGCCAAAGCACUACGUGUGUGGCUUCUUAACAGUGACUUGUAGUAGUUUUGCAAUGUGAUUGUUUUGAUAUACUUUAAAAGCAAGUUGUGGAGCAAAAUGGGUUUAACAGUUAAAUGUGGUAAUUUGGUAGUUGGGAAAUAUUGCUCUUAUACUGAAUCAUUAGAUCAUCACUCAAGCAAGCAAACCAGCUCGCUGCACAUGCAGAGCUACUCUGGCCUAUGCCCACGUUUACUUUUCCCCCUUGAGGCUUCUUAAGUGACACCACGCGUUUGUGCUGCAAAACCUUUAACAUCAUAAGUCUUCGUUGAUGACGGCAGUCUGCAAAGCCAAUUAGCAGUGCUGUGCUCCAUAAGAAAAGCAGGGCUGAGAUUUCAAGUCGGGGGGAAAGUUUUCCUGGCUCAACAACUCAGAGGGAAUUUUCCCUCCUUGGCGUUCAAAGAUUAAGAUUGCAGUGAUUAAGAGACACUGAAGAAAAUGAAGCCCAGCGUCUCUGAACAACUAAAGUGCAGAAAACAGAGCCGGUGAUAUUAGCAACUUUCAAAUGAACCUAAACACAGGAAAUUAAAGGUACAGGGCAACCCAGGCUGUGAGAUCUGCAUGUUUGUUUCUAAUUGCUUCUGAUGCAAAUAUUGCAUUGAUGAUCAGUUUGUCCAAGGUAAUUCCAUGACUACAUAGCUGUUUGUCUGUUUGUUUGUUUUUAUUACAUUAAACAUAUAGGUUGUCUUAUGUAAUACUGAUGAUGACUUCGGAAUGUAAUUAGAUAUAUCUAAGGUUAUCUAGUUUGUUGUUUGGUGAUUUGCAAUGUAAGGAGUAUGGAAGGGGAAAAUA